UGAGUAUGUUGUAGGACAUUGUGUGU
rnacentral:piRNA from 1 species